UACAGAGGGGGCAAGCGUUGUUCGGAAUUACUGGGCGUAAAGGGCGCGUAGGCGGCCUUCUAAGUCGAACGUGAAAUCCCCGGGCUCAACCCGGGAACUGCGUCCGAGACUGGAAGGCUUGAAUCCGGGAGAGGGAUGUGGAAUUCCUGGUGUAGCGGUGAAAUGCGCAGAUAUCAGGAGGAACACCAAUGGCGAAGGCAGCACUCUGGGACGUGACUGACGCUGAGACGCGAAAGCGUGGGGAGCGAACAGG
rnacentral:rRNA from 1 species